CCUGUACUCUCUAGACCGCUCACCCGCCUGAUCUCUAUGGUCUCCGUCUGCGCAUGUGCGGCGUAGGCCCCACCUCUUCUUUUCCUCCCGCGCGGGCCACGUGAGGAGAGUCUGGAGCCUUCAGGUUGUCCCCGGUGCGCAAGCAGCAGGACGAGGCCCAGGACUUUUCGGGUCUGUACGUUUGCUGAGAGUGGUGUUCUUGUGGCGGGGGCGGAAGGUGGACGUCUUAGGAAGCCUUGCGACCCAGUAGAGACCCCCACAGGGACUCCGCAGUGCCUGGGGAUGGCCUGGACCUCGCCCGGGAAAGGAUGCAGUUUUACAAAACCAGAGGUAGUCGUCAAGUUGGAGCAAUGAAAGGGUCCAUUGUUGUUAGAGGAAGAAUUUCCAAGCAGGAGCCAUGCAGGCUGUCGGGGAGCUGCCCAAAGGCCACGUACAAGGGAUCCUAGGAAGGCUGGCCGUGUACGUCCUGGGUAAGUGAGGAAGGAGUCAUCUCUGCUUGAGCACAUUUUCGAGAAUGACUCUAAUCCUGACACUAGAGGGAAACUGCUUCCUGAACUGUUUUUUGUUUGUUUGUUUGUUUGCUGAAUUGAUGCAGUGUUGACGUUUUUAUCUAUAAAAAGAUAAAUGAAGAAAGUUAUCUUAGAAUAAAUUCUCUCACUUUAGGACCUUUCUCA
rnacentral:lncRNA from 1 species